UGGUCCCAGCCUUGAGAUCCGUUAUUACUUAAUAUACACAUGCAAGUCUCCGCACCCCUGUGAAAACGCCCUUCUAACCCCUUUAAGGGACAAGGAGCUGGUAUCAGGCACAAAAAUUAGCCCAAGACACCUAGCUAUGCCACACCCACACGGGAAUUCAGCAGUGAUAAACAUUGAAAAUAAGCGACAGCUUGAAUCAGUUAAAGAAAAAAGAGCCGGCAAAUCUGGUGCCAGCCGCCGCGGUUACACCACGUGGCUCAAACUGACCUCUUUCGGCGUAAAGCGUGAUUUAAGAUAAACUAACAACUGCAAUCAAACUAGAGUUAAGCUGUGACACGCUUACCCUCAAGAAGCCCAAAAACGAAAGUCAUUGCAACUAAAACAACUUGAACUCACGACAGCUAAGAAACAAACUGGGAUUAGAUACCCCACUAUGCUUAGCAGUAAACUUUUACUUACCCCCCCCCCCAUCGCCUGGGAACUACGAGCAAAGCUUAAAACCCAAAGGACUUGACGGUACCCCACAUCCACCUAGAGGAGCCUGUCCUAUAAUCGAUAACCCUCGCUUAACCUCACCAUCUUUAGCUACUCAGCCUGUAUACCUCCGUCGUCAGCUUACCUCGUGAGCGCCAAUUAGUGAGCUAAAUGCCCUAGCGCCAAUACGUCAGGUCAAGGUGCAGCAUAUGAGAUGGGAAGAGAUGGGCUACACUAUCUAAAUUAGAUCACACGAAAAACUACUUAUGAAACCUAGUCAGAAGGCGGAUUUAGAAGUAAAGAAAGAUCAAAAUGCUUUCUUUAACCCGGCACUGGGGUGUGUACACACCGCCCGUCACCCUCUUCAAAGCUUAAAUGCAGUUUUUAACACAACUAAGCACCCUAGAAGAGGCAAGU
rnacentral:ncRNA from 1 species